GAGUUUGAUCGUGGCUCAGGAUGAACGCUGGCGGCGUGCUUAACACAUGCAAGUCGAACGAUGAUCCCAGCUUGCUGGGGGAUUAGUGGCGAACGGGUGAGUAACACGUGACUAACCUGCCCUUGACUCUGGGAUAAGCCUGGGAAACUGGGUCUAAUACCGGAUAUGACCUUCCAUCGCAUGGUGGUUGGUGGAAAGCUUUUGUGGUUUUGGAUGGACUCGCGGCCUAUCAGCUUGUUGGUGAGGUAAUGGCUUACCAAGGCGACGACGGGUAGCCGGCCUGAGAGGGUGACCGGCCACACUGGGACUGAGACACGGCCCAGACCCCUACGGGAGGCAGCAGUGGGGAAUAUUGCACAAUGGGCGCAAGCCUGAUGCAGCGACGCCGCGUGAGGGAUGACGGCCUCGG
rnacentral:rRNA from 1 species